CCCCCUCAGCACCUACCCUCCCGUCACCCCCCGGCCGGGGCCGGUGUCUCCACCAGUUCCCACUUCCUCCCCUAACAUCAACCGGCAGCCCCACCUCCCUCACCCCAUUGGCAUCUCUAUCCCUGCCAAACCAUGCUGCUGUCCCCCCAGCGAAGAGCAUGGCCUGCCCCUUUACCCCACACUCCUGCCCUGCACAGCUGGUUGGGGGAGGGGGCUAUUGCACCCAGUCUUAAAACCACGGUCCCCUAGAAGACUUGGGAACACACACACGCACAUGCCUAUCAUGGAUUUGGGCAUCUCACAACCCACCUAGUAUUUUUCCUUGUACCCUAUCAGAUUGUGAGGCUUUGCUAGGCUGAAGCUCCUUCCCCUCCCUCUUUCCAAUUUUCUCCUCCCCUCCAGUCUUCUGGCGAUUGUUCUGCAUGUACAGCAUAAAAAGAGAGAAAAGCAAGACGGUGCAACAUUCAGACUUUAAUCCAGUGGUUCUCAACCUGUGGCCCAUGGCCUGCUUGUGGCCCAGUCAGCACACCGCUGCAGCCCAUAUGACAGCCUCGGGGCCAUACAACCAAAGAUCCAGAGCAGCUGUAACCUGGGGAAGGAGAACCCUGACUGAACCAGGAGUAACGUGACAGCUGGAGCAGAACUGCACCAAAAAGGCAACACCUUUCAGGAAUCUCAACAUCCUUGCUUGGCUUCCAAGAAGCAACUAUGCCUCAAGAAUUGACCCUA